rnacentral:rRNA from 1 species
AGUGAACGCUGGCGGUAGGCCUAACACAUGCAAGUCGAACGGCAGCACAGGAGAGCUUGCUCUCUGGGUGGCGAGUGGCGGACGGGUGAGGAAUACAUCGGAAUCUACUCUGUCGUGAGGGAUAACGUAGGGAAACUUACGCUAAUACCGACUACGACCUACGGGGGAAAGCAGGGGACCUUCGGGCCUUGGGCGACUGAAUGAGCCGAUGUCGGAUUAGCUAGGUGGCGGGGUAAAGGCCCACCAAGGCGACGAUCCGUAGCUGGUCGGAGAGGAUGAUCAGCCACACUGGAACUGAGACACGGUCCAGACUCCUACGGGAGGCAGCAGUGGGGAAUAUUGGACAAUGGGCGCAAGCCUGAUCCAGCCAUACCGCGUGGGUGAAGAAGGCCUUCGGGUUGUAAAGCCCUUUUGUUGGGAAAGAAAUCCAGCUGGCUAAUACCCGGUUGGGAUGACGGUACCCAAAGAAUAAGCACCGGCUAACUUCGUGCCAGCCGCCGCCGUAA